rnacentral:rRNA from 1 species
AUGGGGCAGGGUUCUCCAGGCGGCAUGGGCAAGCAGGGCGGUCUCCCCGGUGACCGCAAGCCGGGCGACGGUGCCGCCGGCGACAAGAAGGACAAGAAGUUCGAGCCCCCCGCCGCACCGUCGCGCGUGGGGCGCAAGCAGCGGAAACAGAGGGGGCCCGAGGCGGCGGCGCGGCUGCCCCCCGUGGCGCCGCUCUCCAAGUGCCGCCUCCGCCUUCUCAAGCUGGACCGCGUCAAGGACUACCUUCUCAUGGAGGAGGAGUUCGGCGCGAGCCAGGAGCGGCUGCGCCCCAGCGAAGACAAGACGGAGGAGGACCGAUCUAAGGUCGACGACCUCCGCGGCACCCCUAUGAGCGUUGGCUCGCUCGAGGAGAUCAUCGACGAGAGCCACGCGAUCGUCUCGUCGUCCGUUGGGCCUGAGUACUAUGUCAGCGUACUGUCGUUCGUCGACAAGGACCAGCUGGAGCCGGGAUGCUCCAUACUGAUGCAUAACAAGGUUCUCUCGGUGGUUGGAAUUUUGCAAGAUGAAGUCGAUCCUAUGGUUUCUGUCAUGAAAGUUGAGAAGGCACCUUUGGAGUCUUAUGCUGACAUUGGUGGAUUGGAUGCCCAAAUUCAAGAGAUCAAAGAGGCAGUGGAACUUCCGUUGACACAUCCUGAGCUAUAUGAGGACAUUGGGAUCAGGCCUCCGAAGGGAGUCAUUCUAUAUGGGGAACCUGGAACAGGGAAAACUCUACUUGCAAAGGCUGUUGCCAAUUCUACAUCAGCAACAUUCUUGCGUGUUGUUGGGAGUGAGUUGAUCCAGAAGUACCUUGGUGACGGCCCCAAGCUUGUAAGAGAACUGUUUAGGGUGGCUGAUGAUCUGUCUCCUUCAAUUGUCUUUAUUGAUGAGAUUGAUGCAGUUGGAACAAAGAGGUAUGAUGCUCAUUCAGGUGGUGAGCGUGAGAUUCAGAGAACCAUGUUGGAGUUGUUAAAUCAGCUCGAUGGUUUUGAUUCAAGAGGAGAUGUGAAGGUUAUUCUAGCGACAAACCGCAUUGAGAGCCUUGACCCAGCCUUGCUUCGACCAGGCCGAAUAGACAGAAAGAUUGAAUUUCCCUUGCCAGAUAUUAAAACACGACGGCGUAUCUUUCAGAUACACACUGCCAAGAUGACAUUGGCAGAAGAUGUGAACCUGGAAGAGUUUGUGAUGACCAAAGAUGAGUUUUCUGGUGCUGAUAUCAAAGCCAUUUGUACUGAAGCUGGAUUGCUUGCCUUGAGAGAGCGCAGGAUGAAGGUGACACAUGCUGACUUCAAGAAGGCCAAGGAGAAGGUAAUGUUCAAGAAGAAGGAAGGUGUACCGGAGGGGUUGUACAUGUGA